rnacentral:misc_RNA from 1 species
GAUGAAGAACGUAGCGAAAUGCGAUAAGUAGUGUGAAUUGCAGAAUUCAGUGAAUCAUCGAAUCUUUGAACGCACAUUGCGCCUCCUGGUAUUCCUGGAGGCAUGCCUGUUCGAGCGUCAUUAAAAUCACUCAAGCUUAGGUUUACCUAUUGCUUGGUCUUGGAGAUGGAAGCCAAUUUAUUGGAAUCCUCUUCGAAAUUCAAUGGCGAAGACCCUUGCUCUCCCAAGUGUAGUAAUAACUUAUGUCACUGAAGGAAGCGAGAAAUCUUCUGCCGUAACCCCCAUAUUUUCUAUGAUUGACCUCGGAUCAGGUAGGGAUACCCGCUGAACUUAAGCAUAUCAAUAAGCGGAGGA